AAAGGAUACAGAAUGUAAACCCUAGAACUACAAGUCUUUUGCGGCUGUCCUCUACAGCUCCACUGGAUGAUCCCGUCAGCAGCCCCUCCGCGACACGACACGGCUCUCUCCCACACUCCCUCAAAACGCUGUUUCUGUGUUCCUGAAUUUUUGGCUCUAAGAUCAAAGGGUCAUCAAGAAAUAUGCAAAUAUGCCUCUCCUCACUCCUUAGGUUUACUUGUUUGGAAGAGAAACACUUAAUGGGUUGAGUAGUUUCGGAAAAAAGAUAGGAAUGCUCUAGAGCAUUGCAAAGACUGUUGGCCGUAUCAGGUGGUUUUUUUUUUUGGUUUUCAUUUUGUUUCUAAAACCUAGUUCUUAGUAUUAUUUUUAGCAGUUUGGUAACCUCUCAUACAAGAAGGUUUCAGAAGAUUUGUUUAGUGCUUGCCCUGAUUUUGGUGCUAACUUUUACUACAUUGUGAUCGUGGCUUGUUAUUUUCAAUAUAGGAUUGGAUUGAAAAAUAACCAGCCACGACCAGAGUGUAAUAAAAGUUAGCUCCAAACCCAGGGAAGGCACUAAACAUAUCUUCCGAAUAUAAUAAGAAUUAGGUUUUAGAAACAAAAUGAAAACCAAAAACAAUCUGGUAGUUGAUAGCUUCAAUCUCGGGCGGUCGGGCCUGUGGCUCCCUUUGAUGCUGCUUCGUUCUUUCUUGCAAUUUGGAUGGCCGUUAUUUUAUCAUCAAGGUCUGAGAACUAUGGAGACCCUUCAGAGAACAAGGAUUUGUUUACACAGUUCAAGGGUGCUGCUAGCUGUGGCUAUCGCUACAUGUUGAUCCCUACACUAGAUUAAUGAUUGCUUAAUAUCAUUGCAUAAGACCACGAGUGAUUCCAGUUUCACAAUGCAGCAAUCCUCCCAAGUGAUCAACCAUCGAUCUUACAUUUUAUUUUUUCUUUCUUUAAACAUGCUUUUGGAUUGGCCAUGUAGAUGUGGCGUGGGUGUCUGACCCUGAUUGUGAUCAUUUUGCAAUUUUUGGUGCUGUACAGAUGUCAAAUCUCCAAUACUUUUACUUAAAUAAAAUUUUAGUUUCCAUGAGAGUAAAAAAGAAA